rfam:Babesia microti strain RI apicoplast complete genome
UUCUUUAUAGUUAAAUGGUAUAACAAUCGGCUGUUAACCGAUAAAUAUUGGUUCAAUUCCAAUUAAAGAAG